GUCUUCUUGUUAUAUUUAGGAAGUCUGGCCUGCCCAGUGAAAAUAAUUUAACGGCCGCGGUAUACUGACCGUGCAAAGGUAGCAUAAUCAUUAGUCUUUUAAUAGAGGGCUGGUAUGAAGGGUUUAACGAGGUGUUGACUGUCUCAUUUAAUUUGAAUUUAGAACUUAAUUUUUUAGUUAAAAAGCUAAAAUUUUAUUGGAAGACGAGAAGACCCUAUAGAGCUUUAUAUUUUUACUAUUAAUUUAUUAUAGAUUAUUAUUAUUUAUUAUUGGUAUAAAAUAUUUUGUUGGGGUGACAAAAAUAUAUAAAUAACUUUUUUAUUUCAUUUACAUUGCUAUAUGAAUAUUAGAUCCAAUCUUAUUGAUUGUUAGAUUAAGUUACCUUAGGGAUAACAGCGUAAUCCCUCUCCAGAGUUCAUAUUUACAGAGGGGCUUGCGACCUCGAUGUUGGAUUAAGAUAAUAAUUAGGUGUAGCCGCUUAAUUAAUAGGUCUGUUCGACCUUUAAAUUCUU
rnacentral:rRNA from 1 species